GUACAGCUACAGAAUGAAAAGGCAAAGUUUGGAGAGCUGAGCAUAAAGCAUCUGGAGAUGCAGGCUGAGUUUGAUGUAGAAAUUGCUGAUAAGAUACGGGUGGAAGAGGAACUCCAUGAGUCGGAUGAGCUGGUGGGCCAAUUAAAGAUUGAACUGCAGGCCAUAAAGGUCAGAGUAGAAACUUUAGGACUGGCCCUUGAUGCAGCGUAUGAGGGCCAGCGCAGUGGGGCUAGGAGGGCACACUAUGAGAUAGGAGAGCAUAGUCGAUCCGUUCGACGUAGAGUCCUGCAGUAGUUGUUUUCCUAGGAGCCUGUGCAGGUGACCUGGCAGGGCCACCAGUGGUGAUGAUGUGAUGGCCC
rnacentral:lncRNA from 1 species